AUCUGGAUAGCUCAGUUGGUUAGAGCAUGGUGCUGUGAAUGUCAAGGUUGCAGGUUCAGUCUCCCUUUGGGACG